GCCGGCCGGGCGUCGCGGAGCCGAGCUUGGCGUUCCUGAGCCGAAGCUGAACUUUUUCCCCAAGAAGUCCCACAUUUAGGGGCAGGAGGAGCGGGACGGGGGCGGAGAGCGGAGUUUCUGGAAGGAGCAGCAGCAGCAGCAGCUGCUGCACAACAUGGCCUCCUCCACCUCCUCCUCCCCCGCGGGCGCCAAGAGCACCCCUCCUACGCAGGGUGAUUUUGGAUCUUACUAUUCACGAAGCU
rnacentral:lncRNA from 1 species